rnacentral:rRNA from 1 species
GAUGAACGCUGGCGGCGUGCUUAACACAUGCAAGUCGAACGAAGCACUUUAUUUGAUUUCCUUCGGGACUGAUUAUUUUGUGACUGAGUGGCGGACGGGUGAGUAACGCGUGGGUAACCUGCCUUGUACAGGGGGAUAACAGUUGGAAACGGCUGCUAAUACCGCAUAAGCGCCCGGCAUCGCAUGAUGCAGUGUGAAAAACUCCGGUGGUAUAAGAUGGACCCGCGUUGGAUUAGCUAGUUGGUGAGGUAACGGCCCACCAAGGCGACGAUCCAUAGCCGACCGGAGAGGGUGACCGGCCACAUUGGGACUGAGACACGGCCCAAACUCCUACGGGAGGAAGCAGUGGGGAAUAGUGCACAAUGGGCGAAAGCCUGAUGCAGCGACGCCGCGUGAGCGAAGAAGUAUUUCGGUAUGUAAAGCUCUAUCAGCAGGGAAGAUAAUGACGGUACCUGACUAAGAAGCACCGGCUAAAUACGUG